rnacentral:rRNA from 1 species
AGGGCACCACCAGGAGUGGAGCCUGCGGCUUAAUUUGACUCAACACGGGAAAACUCACCCGGCCCGGACACCGUAAGGAUUGACAGACUGAGAGCUCUUUCUUAAUUCGGUGGGUGGUGGUGCAUGGCCGUUCUUAGUUGGUGGAGCGAUUUGUCUGGUUAAUUCCGAUAACGAACGAGACUCUGGCCUAUUAAAUAGACGAUAUAUCUAUCUAGUAUAUCGCGCUUCUUAGAGGGACAAGCGGCGUCCAGCCGCAUGAAAUAAAGCAAUAACAGGUCUGUGAUGCCCUUAGAUGUCCGGGGCUGCACGCGCGCUACACUGAAAGAAUCAGCGUGCGUUUUACCUAGUUCGGAAGAACCGGGUAACCCAAGUAAAUUCUUUCGGGCUUGGGAUAGGGAAUUGCAAUUAUUUCCCUUGAACGAGGAAUUCCCAGUAAAUGCGGGUCAUAAGCUCGCGUUGAUUACGUCCCUGCCCUUUGUACACACCGCCCGUCGCUACUACCGAUUGGAUGACUUAGUG